rnacentral:rRNA from 1 species
GGAAUAUUGCACAAUGGGCGCAAGCCUGACGCAGCCAUGCCGCGUGUAUGAAGAAGGCCUUCGGGUUGUAAAGUACUUUCAGCGGGGAGGAAGGCGAUAAGGUUAAUAACCUUGUCGAUUGACGUUACCCGCAGAAGAAGCACCGGCUAACCCCGUGCCACCAGCCGCGGUAAUACGGAGGGUGCAAGCGUUCAUCGGAAUUACUGGGCGUAAGGCGCACGCAGGCGGUCUGUCAAGUCGGAUGUGAAAUCCCCGGGCUCAACCUGGGAACUGCAUUCGAAACUGGCAGGCUAGAGUCUUGUAGAGGGGGGUAGAAUUCCAGGUGUAGCGGUGAAAUGCGUAGAGAUCUGGAGGAAUACCGGUGGCGAAGGCGGCCCCCUGGACAAAGACUGACGCUCAGGUACGAAAGCGUGGGGAGCAAACG